UACAGAGGUCUCAAGCGUUGUUCGGAUUCAUUGGGCGUAAAGGGUGCGUAGGCGGCGCGGUAAGUCGGGUGUGAAAUCUCGGAGCUUAACUCCGAAACUGCAUUCGAUACUGCUGUGCUUGAGGACUGGAGAGGAGACUGGAAUUUACGGUGUAGCGGUGAAAUGCGUAGAUAUCGUAAGGAAGACCAGUGGCGAAGGCGGGUCUCUGGACAGUUCCUGACGCUGAGGAACGAAGGUCAGGGGAGCAAACGGG
rnacentral:rRNA from 1 species